rnacentral:lncRNA from 1 species
UAAAGAUUAGAAUCAGAGAACUGGUUUGUUUAUUAUUGUUAGAGAUAAAAGGUGACUUUCAGAAAGAAAAUAGGCAGUGCAAAGGUAGUGAGGGCCAAAGAAACAUCAGGGUUCCUCAUGCUUUGAGAAAAUACAAUGUUCUGCAGGGAUCCUGACAUUUAAAUAAGCAAUUUCAAGCAACUUUAAUGUGCUUGGCUUGCAGAUUGCCGGAGGCUGGAAAGUAAGACAAAUAACAGCUCACCUGCCUGGGUUAUUGGAGCAACAAGAAACUUUCAGAGCAAUCCUCCAUUUGCCAGGAGACUGCUUCUGUCGAUGACAGCACUGGGUUUCCACCCCAUUCUGGCAUCUGGAUUAUAUGGGCUAAGAGGAGGCACCAGCAGGUGAG